rnacentral:rRNA from 1 species
AUUGAACGCUGGCGGCAGGCCUAACACAUGCAAGUCGAGCGGAUGAGGGGAGCUUGCUCCCUGAUUUAGCGGCGGACGGGUGAGUAAUGCCUAGGAAUCUGCCUGUUAGUGGUUGAUAACGUUCUGAAAGGAACGCACAUACCGCAUACGUCCUUCGGGACAAAGCAGGGGACCUUCGGGCCUUCCGCUCUCACAUGAGCCUAGGUCGGAUUAUCUAGUUGGUGAGGUAAUGGCCCACCAAGGCGACGAUCCGUAGCUGGUCUGAGAGGAUGAUCAGUCACACUGGAACUGAGACACGGUCCAGACUCCUACGGGAGGCAGCAGUGGGGAAUAUUGGACAAUGGGCGAAAGCCUGAUCCAGCCAUGCCGCGUGGGUGAAGAAGGUCUUCGGAUUGUAAAGCACUUUAAGUUGGGAGGAAGGGCUGCUGGUUAAUACCCCGCAGUUUUGACGUUACCAAAAGAAUAAGCACCGGCUAACUUCGUG